rnacentral:rRNA from 1 species
UACGGGAGGCAGCAGUGGGGAAUAUUGCACAAUGGGCGCAAGCCUGAUGCAGCCAUGCCGCGUGUAUGAAAAAGGCCUUCGGGUUGUAAAGUACUUUCAGUCGUGAGGAAGGUGUUAAGGUUAAUAACCUUAGCAAUUGACGUUAGCGACAGAAGAAGCACCGGCUAACUCCGUGCCAGCAGCCGCGGUAAUACGGAGGGUGCGAGCGUUAAUCGGAAUUACUGGGCGUAAAGGGCACGCAGGCGGUUAAUUAAGUUGGAUGUGAAAUCCCCGGGCUUAACCUGGGAAUGGCAUUCAAGACUGGUUAGCUAGAGUCUUGUAGAGGGGGUAGAAUUCCAUGUGUAGCGGUGAAAUGCGUAGAGAUGUGGAGGAAUACCGGUGGCGAAGGCGGCCCCUGGGACAAAGGACUGACGCUCAUGUGCGAAAGCGUGGGGAGCAAACAGGGAUUAGAUACC